rnacentral:rRNA from 1 species
AAUGAGCCUGCGAGUUGUGGUGUCUGGCAAGGUUAAGCAAACGCGAAGCCGUAGCGAAAGCGAGUCUGAAUAGGGCGCUUAGUCAGAUGCUGCAGACCCGAAACGAAGUGAUCUAUCCAUGAGCAAGUUGAAGCUAGUGUAAGAACUAGUGGAGGACUGAACCCAUAGGCGUUGAAAAGCCCCGGGAUGACUUGUGGAUAGGGGUGAAAGGCCAAUCAAACUUCGUGAUAGCUGGUUCUCUCCGAAAUAUAUUUAGGUAUAGCGUUGUGUCGUAAUAUAAGGGGGUAGAGCACUGAAUGGGCUAGGGCAUACACCAAUGUACCAAACCCUAUCAAACUCCGAAUACCUUAUAUGUAAUCACAGCAGUCAGGCGGCGAGUGAUAAAAUCCGUCGUCAAGAGGGAAACAACCCAGACUACCAGCUAAGGUCCCUAAAUCUUACUUAAGUGGAAAACGAUGUGAAGUUACUUAAACAACCAGGAGGUUGGCUUAGAAGCAGCCAUCCUUUAAAGAAAGCGUAAUAGCUCACUGGUCUAGUGAUUUUGCGCGGAAAAUAUAACGGGGCUAAAGUAAGUACCGAAGCUGUAGACUUGCACACAA